rnacentral:snRNA from 14 species
UAACAUACUGGACAAGGUCAAUGGUGAUCAAGAAGACCCAUCGCAUAGGCUGGUGACCUCCAUUGCACUUUGGAGGGAUGCCCGCCCAAGGACGGCCCAAGUACCCGAGCUAACAUCAUAAUUUGUGGCAGCUGGGGAUUUCGUGUCCGCGG